CACACACACAGUUCCAUGUAAGAUACGCUUCUGUACGCCCUGCCCUCGUCAUGAGCUCAGCGUGCGAGGUUUCUUUUCCUGCUGCUGCCAGCCUUUUAAAGUGGACGCCGGCGUGAACUGCGGCCAUAUGCCUGCCGGUUAUAUGCGGAGUGCCGACUUGGAGGAGACUAGGGUGCCUUGGUGGUGGGAUUCUUUGAGUGUACACACCUGCCUUGUUUAGUUUAUUAGUCUGAGUGUGUGAUAGUGUGCUGCACUUGUGUCUUGGUGUGUUUUCUUCUUUUUUUGAGUUUGUGUGUGGCAUCCCUGCCCCUCCACUGGUAAGCCUCAGCUCUGAAUACCUUUUUUAAGCAUAUUUGUAUAUUGAUAUUUAUGAUUGUGUUUUUAU